AUUGAACGCUGGCGGCAUGCCUUACACAUGCAAGUCGAACGGCAGCACGGGUGCUUGCACCUGGUGGCGAGUGGCGAACGGGUGAGUAAUACAUCGGAACAUGUCCUGUAGUGGGGGAUAGCCCGGCGAAAGCCGGAUUAAUACCGCAUACGAUCUACGGAUGAAAGCGGGGGACCUUCGGGCCUCGCGCUAUAGGGGUGGCCGAUGGCUGAUUAGCUAGUUGGUGGGGUAAAGGCCUACCAAGGCGACGAUCAGUAGCUGGUCUGAGAGGACGACCAGCCACACUGGGACUGAGACACGGCCCAGACUCCUACGGGAGGCAGCAGUGGGGAAUUUUGGACAAUGGGCGAAAGCCUGAUCCAGCAAUGCCGCGUGUGUGAAGAAGGUCUUCGGGUUGUAAAGCACUUUUGUCCGGAAAGAAAUCCUUGGCCCUAAUACGGUCGGGGGAUGACGGUACCGGAAGAAUAAGCACCGGCUAACUACGUG
rnacentral:rRNA from 1 species